rnacentral:rRNA from 1 species
AGUGAACGCUGGCGGCGUGCUUAACACAUGCAGGUCGAACGAGAACGGAUUAUAGCUUGCUAUAAUUGUCAGCUAAGUGGCGCACGGGUGAGUAAUGUAUAGGUAAUAUGCCUCUUACUAAGGGAUAACAAAUGGAAACGUUUGCUAAUACCUUAUACUCCUUAUUAACAUAAGUUAAUAAGGGAAAGAUUUAUUGGUAAGAGAUUAGCCUGUAUUGUAUCAGUUAGUUGGUGGGGUAAUGGCUUACCAAGACUAUGACACAUAACUGGUUUGAGGGGAUGAUCAGUCACACUAGAACUGAGACACGGUCCAGACUCCUACGGGAGGCAGCAGUGGGGAAUAUUGCACAAUGGACGAAAGUCUGAUGCAGCAACGCCGCGUGGAGGAUGACACAUUUCGGUGCGUAAACUCCUUUUAUAUGAGAAGAUAAUGACGGUAUUAUAUGAAUAAGCACCGGCUAACUCCGUGCCAGCCGCCGCGGUAA